UGAGGAAUAUUGGUCAAUGGUCGGGAGACUGAACCAGCCAAGCCGCGUGAGGGAUGAAGGUACAGAGUAUCGUAAACCUCUUUUGUCGGGGAACAAAAGGCGCCACGCGUGGCGCUCCGAGUGUACCUGAAGAAAAAGCAUCGGCUAACUCCGUGCCAGCAGCCGCGGUAAUACGGAGGAUGCGAGCGUUAUCCGGAUUUAUUGGGUUUAAAGGGUGCGUAGGCGGCGAGUUAAGUCAGCGGUAAAAGCCCGGGGCUCAACCCCGGCCCGCCGUUGAAACUGGCUUGCUUGAGUUGGAGAGAAGUAGGCGGAAUGCGCGGUGUAGCGGUGAAAUGCUUAGAUAUCGCGCAGAACUCCGAUUGCGAAGGCAGCCUACCGGCUCCAGACUGACGCUGAGGCACGAAAGCGUGGGUAUCGAACAGGAUUAGAUACCC
rnacentral:rRNA from 1 species